CUCGCCAUUUCAGAAGGUUGAUAUGUUCUUCCUGCGCAUGCUUCGACCGUAUCGAACUCGAUCAAGAUACAAAAAAGAGAUUCAUGCAUCAAAGCUACCAUAACCUGUAAAUAAUUGUGUGGCCAAUAUUCAGACAUUCAGAAUAUCUUUCUUACUGCAUGUAUUUCGGUUGGCCGAUAGGCACGCACAAGUAAGUUGUUGAACUACAUGUAUGCAUCAUGUGAAACAGGGAGUUUGAUGCCGGAUAACCUCAGAAAUACAUUUGAAACAGCUUGCAAGGAAUUGGAGUCUAGCCCUGGGCUACAUUAUUAUGUUUCUUGGUACACCAAAAAGAGCAAGCAAAUGAUAAAAUGUGGUCUUACAUAUCUAUUUACACUGCAACUGAAUUAUAUUUUAAUUUUGCAUUUCCUACAUAUGUUUCAAGCCUUCUAUUUCUGCCUUCGUUAAUACCAGUGCAGGAUUAGGUCAUGUUUUGGUUUAGGCAUAGCCGUACCAAAUCGGGUUUUGCUGCAUUUCUUCACCUCUGUUUUUGUGGUUUUCCAGUUUAGGCACAUCCAUACCGAUGCCUUAUCUGUAGUGGUAAUCUGGUUGUUUGUUAUUUACAUCUUUAGACAAUGAAAUAUGAUCAAGUGAUAGAUGCCAUUAAUUGUUUGGGGUACCUUGUCCAGGAACAUAAUGUGACCUUUACUUCCCUCGGGGUGGAGUCAUUUAGGUGCAAUACCAAAGAUUCUUAAAGUGGUGUGAUUCAUAGCAGAGAGGAAAGCAGGGUAUAUUAAAGGAGUUUUUGUAGCUAGAUUUGGGUACGAUUUGAUUCUGGGAUAUUAUGGAUAUCACAGAUUAUCCUUACAUUCACUGCUGAUCAUAUAUUGACUAUUCAACUCUUCACUCCAGAGACGCCGCAAAUCCCAGGUAAAUGCUCUUCGUAUUUUCCAAUUAAUAUUCUUACACUUCUUUCCCUUCUUCACUUACAUGAUUACUUAUUACCCAUAGAUCUAAGGGUUAAGCAUUCUCUGAUAUGUGUGGACUGUAACUGUAUUGUUUUUUUAAUGAAUAGGGAGUUUUACUCCAUUUUGAGUAAUUAUUCUAGUUUUGAGCUUUUUAUCAUAUUCCAGUGUUCUUGAGAGAAGUCAGCAGUGCUGACUUUAUAUUGUGAGCAGAGUGCACCUUAUUUAUAGAGAUAAAAAAGAUAUUGGUUUGCUGCAAAGAGUAAUUACUUGAACACAGAUGGCAACAAAGGUGCAUGGUCUCAUAAAGAGGGCAUGUUCAUGUGCGAGGUAAGAUAUGAAUUGAUUCGGGCUGAUGAAUAUUCAAUUGAAUUUCACGAUUAAUAGAGAAGUGCCGCAGUAGACAAGCCAAGGAAGAAUAUAUCACAUAACCAUAAAUUUGAGAUUGGAUUAUCAUUCUCUCAUUGCAUCCCAUUUAUCAUGGUACCAGUUCAUUCAUCAUAAACAUGUUUCGUGAUGUAGAAAAAGCAUCCAAUGCCAGUCAGUUUUGCAGUAUGAAAUCCACUAUUUCCUGUAUAUGUGUAUAUGAGUUUGGCUUAUUGUGGCUAUAUUUAAUUAACCCGUAUGUAGAGUUUAGCAUGGUCACUGAAUUAAACAGGAGUCCUAUGGUGCAGUAUUCAACUUAAAUCUAUGUACUGAGCGUCGGCCCUAGGAAUUUGCAACUUGGUAUUCAUAUUGCCAAAACCAUUGUUGUUUUCGCCAGAAUAAUCGUUGUUUUGCUAGAAUCGUCACUGUUUGCCAAAAUCGUCCUUUUUUCUGAUAAAAUCAUGGGUAUCCCCUCAAGAUCACUAUAAAGUAAAUCGUCUCUUUGAUUUUUAGAAUUUAACUAGAAUGAUUUAUAGGUCAUAAAACAUACAUUAUCUGAGAUACUAAUUUUUCCACUUAACUUAUACGAGAUAUGUCAAUUGCAGAACUGUAAAUGAGGUUUGGUUUGAAUACUAACAGAUGUCUCGAGCAAUUCUUAUGCUACGGAUUAUGAUGUUGAUGGUAUUCAGAUCCGUCCUUGCACAUCCAAGUUCUUAAACUUAAGCCUAUGUUGGGUUAAGGAGAAGCAGAUUGCAGUGAAUAUAUGAAUAAUAUUAUUGCUCAGAUGAUGAUUCAUGACAAUGUCGGACAGUUCGUUGAGCAAAGUGGUGGGAAGCUCCCGAAAACAUCCAUUCCAAUCAUUGUGAAGGUUGAUUUUACCUACUUCGCUUAAAUGGUGACCUCCUUGCGCACUCAAUUUUUUUGCUUAGGAUGCUCAUGCGAUGGUGUGAUGUACAUGUACCUCAGCCAGUUCAUUGAGCAAAGCGGUGGGAAGCUCCCAAAACGAUAUGAGUUUAAAACAUGUUCUGGAAUAAUUGCUUAUCUUGUGUUUUAGCUGAUCAAUAUCAGCGAGUGAAAGAUGCUUAUCUAGACCUUUUGAUGCAUUAUAAUUAUCAAGUUCAGAUUUUUAAGGCGUGCUUUUUGCAGGUUCAUUGCUGGUUUUCUUUUCUCCGAGGUGUGCUCCACAUCCCUCUGCUUGAUCGAUAUGAGGGGCGUUGCUGCUGCAUGACGUCGCUACAUUCUUUUGUUUGUUCGUCGGCUAUGGGGAGUUUGAGCCUCAUAUCUCUAUUAACUCUUCCAACACUAUUUGCUAAGUAUUUUCAAUAACGAUGUUUUAUGGUGGAUAACCAAUUGUUCGUUUCCUGUACACUUAAGCCAACAAACACAAAAUCAACAUAUUUCCUCCUUUUCUAAUCGCGAUAACACAAUUUUUUAAGGAUUUUUUCGAAUCUGCUAAUCACUUUUUUUCCAUGAUAUGGGGAGUACAUACAUUGCUCUGUUUGAGAUAUUAGCUACCAAUAGGUAUCUCUUGCUGUACUCAAACUAUCAAUAAAUAAAUGAGACAUGCAUGGUUUGUUUUGGCAGUAUACCUUUUUUCUCUUGCCCUUUGGUCGUGAACUGUUCCAAAUUUUGAUUUCUACAUCCAGUCACAGUGGCGGAGCUUAGUUGAAAUAAAACCGGGCUAUGGCCCGCCCAACUUUGGAGAUUUUCUUCAUACAUAUUGGUAAAUUUAGCCCAAUAACAACCCAUAUUACUCUCCUUAAGCCUAAUGGCCCGCCCAGGUUUUCUGGCAAGCUCCGCUACCGAGUCCAAGAACCAUCUUGAUUUUAACCAAGUUGUAUAAAUAGCGAGUGAUCAAGCAACCGUUUCGACCUCGAGGUGAACAUUCCGAAUGAGAUGGACCCUGAUAUUGGUGUGAAAGGGAGACAUGGGAGAUUCGAUGGCAGACCUUAGCAGUUGUGGCUUAAUGUGAUCGGACAUGUUCCCUUCAGGUUUCCAUAUGAUUUUGUUAUAGAGCCUUCUUCUAACAUCAUGUUAUUCUGGGUUUGAGUGUAAGAAAUACAAUGGUCUUUCUAGAAUUUUCUCAUUCUUAUGGACCAUCGGUUCAUUGUUGUGGCUUAGUUUUCUAGCUUAGUGCUAUCUAAUUGGUAGGCUAUAUAUGAUAUGUGUGGGUCCUGAAAACUCACAAGAGCUGUAAAUUCUUUUAUGUACUAACUGAUAAGUUGGAAUAGUAGUUGUUCUAUGUGCAUCAUGAAA